rnacentral:pre_miRNA from 1 species
GGGGGGAAUGCCGGGUCUUGGGCUGUGUCCCCCAGCGCCCUGGGCUCCAGGGCCUCCGCCGCUGGAAUCGUGGUCCUGGGGCCACACAGCCCCCU